rnacentral:rRNA from 1 species
UUGAACGCUGGCGGCGUGCUUAACACAUGCAAGUCGAUCGGUAACGCGGGGGCAACCCUGGCGACGAGAGGCGGACGGGUGAGGAACGCUUGGGAAUCUGCCCUUCAGCGGGGGACAACCCGGGGAAACCCGGGCUACUACCGCACACGCUCCACGGAGGAAAGCCUGGGACCGCAAGGCCUGGCACUGAAGGAUGAGCCCAAGUCGGAUUAGCUAGUUGGCGGGGUAACGGCCCACCAAGGCGACGAUCCGUAGCUGGUCUGAGAGGACGAGCAGCCACACUGGGACUGAGAAACGGCCCAGACUCCUACGGGAGGCAGCAGUGGGGAAUAUUGGACAAUGGGGGAAACCCUGAUCCAGCGACGCCGCGUGGGUGAAGAAGGCCUGCGGGUUGUAAAGCCCUUUCGGUAGGGACGAAAGCGCGCGACCGAACACGGCGGGAGGUUGACUUAACCGACAAAAGAAGCACCGGCUAACUCUGU